rnacentral:rRNA from 1 species
GUCGAGCGGAUGACAGGAGCUUGCUCCUGAAUUCAGCGGCGGACGGGUGAGUAAUGCCUAGGAAUCUGCCUGGUAGUGGGGGACAACGUUUCGAAAGGAACGCUAAUACCGCAUACGUCCUACGGGAGAAAGCAGGGGACCUUCGGGCCUUGCGCUAUCAGAUGAGCCUAGGUCGGAUUAGCUAGUUGGUGAGGUAAUGGCUCACCAAGGCGACGAUCCGUAACUGGUCUGAGAGGAUGAUCAGUCACACUGGAACUGAGACACGGUCCAGACUCCUACGGGAGGCAGCAGUGGGGAAUAUUGGACAAUGGGCGAAAGCCUGAUCCAGCCAUGCCGCGUGUGUGAAGAAGGUCUUCGGAUUGUAAAGCACUUUAAGUUGGGAGGAAGGGCAUUAACCUAAUACGUUAGUGUUUUGACGUUACCGACAGAAUAAGCACCGGCUAACUCUGUGCCAGCAGCCGCGGUAAUACAGAGGGUGCAAGCGUUAAUCGGAAUUACUGGGCGUAAAGCGCGCGUAGGUGGUUUGUUAAGUUGGAUGUGAAAUCCCCGGGCUCAACCUGGGAACUGCAUUCAAAACUGACAAGCUAGAGUAUGGUAGAG